rnacentral:misc_RNA from 1 species
GAAAUGCGAUAAGUAAUGUGAAUUGCAGAAUUCAGUGAAUCAUCGAAUCUUUGAACGCACAUUGCGCCCGCCAGCACUCUGGCGGGCAUGCCUGUUCGAGCGUCAUUUCAACCCUCAGAACCCCUUGCGGGAUCUGGCGUUGGGGAUUGGCAUCCAUCCAGCCCCGAAAUCUAGUGGCGGUCCCUCCGCGACCUCCCCUGUGCAGUAGCGAUACCUCGCAGCGGGACAGCGGUCUGACCACGCCGUAAAACCCCCAACUUCUCAAGGUUGACCUCGAAUCAGGUAGGAAUACCCGCUGAACUUAAGC